ensembl:lncRNA
AAGGAAACUUGGAAUGACUUUUCAUAGGUUUCCCAGAGACUAUGGGUUGAGGAGGAAUUGGAAGUUUGUCGGCUUAGACCUGGUGUCAUUCCAUCAGUGUUAAACUUCCCGGCUCAUCUUGGAAGAGUACGUGCCAGAAAGACCACAACCAAGCAGCCUUGAGAUCUUAGGCAGCGUCUCCCUGAGACCAAAGAACUACAGACUCUUCACAACCUGCUCAAACUCUUGGUACAGGACCUCACCACACGGGUCAAGAAGGUUUCUGUCUCAUUUCUACUCUGAAGCUCACCUUCUCCUGCUCAAACUGCUGACAAAUGUUUCUGCUGCUCUAAAGUCUGGUCUCCAGAACUUCCUAAAAACUCUCAAAGUCUCUUCUGCUGCAGGUUGCUUUGUAGAACUGUUGCAGAAAACCUCACUAAACCACAUGGAGGGGCCUCAAGAUAGUCGUCCAAAUGAAACCGUACAAAAACCAAACUAACGCAACCCAAAUGCUAAAUUCUCCUGCAGCCUACCAGAGAACCUCUGAGAACAGAGAAUCAGGACAGGAACUCUUACCUUCUGGACAACCAACGUUGGUUCACAAACAAGAAUACAGAAUGUGUCUGACCAAAAAACUCUGAA